GACGAACGCUGGCGGCGUGCCUAAUACAUGCAAGUCGAACGCAUUUUCUUUCACCGUAGCUUGCUACACCGAAAGAAAAUGAGUGGCGAACGGGUGAGUAACACGUGGGUAACCUGCCCAUCAGCGGGGGAUAACACUUGGAAACAGGUGCUAAUACCGCAUAAUUCCAUUUACCGCAUGGUAAAUGGAUGAAAGGCGCUUUUGCGUCACUGAUGGAUGGACCCGCGGUGCAUUAGCUAGUUGGGGGGGUAACGGCCUACCAAGGCUGCGAUGCAUAGCCGACCUGAGAGGGUGGUCGGCCACACUGGGACUGAGACACGGCCCAGACUCCUACGGGAGGCAGCAGUAGGGAAUCUUCGGCAAUGGACGCAAGUCUGACCGAGCAACGCCGCGUGAGUGAAGAAGGUUUUCGGAUCGUAAAACUCUGUUGUUAGAGAAGAACAAGGAUGAGAGUGGAAAGUUCAUCCCUUGACGGUAUCUAACCAGAAAGCCACGGCUAACUACGUG
rnacentral:rRNA from 1 species